GUUUAUGUACAUGCCUGCAACAUAGUGUUAAUGCAUCAAAUCCCAUUAGAACUCCGCAUUUAAGCGUGCUUGGGCAAGAUUAGUACUAGGAUGGGUGGCCGCCUGGGAAGUCCUAGUAUUUUACAUGCC
rfam:Picea glauca, whole genome shotgun sequence.